rnacentral:rRNA from 1 species
UAGGGAAUCUUCCGCAAUGGGCGAAAGCUUGACGGAGCAACGCCGCGUGAGUGAUGAAGGUCUUCGGAUCGUAAAACUCUGUUAUUAGGGAAGAACAAAUGGGUAAGUAACUAUGCACGUCUUGACGGUACCUAAUCAGAAAGCCACGGCUAACUACGUGCCAGCAGCCGCGGUAAUACGUAGGUGGCAAGCGUUAUCCGGAAUUAUUGGGCGUAAAGCGCGCGUAGGCGGUUUUUUAAGUCUGAUGUGAAAGCCCACGGCUCAACCGUGGAGGGUCAUUGGAAACUGGAAAACUUGAGUGCAGAAGAGGAAAGUGGAAUUCCAUGUGUAGCGGUGAAAUGCGCAGAGAUAUGGAGGAACACCAGUGGCGAAGGCGACUUUCUGGUCUGUAACUGACGCUGAUGUGCGAAAGCGUGGGGAUCAAACAGG